CAACUUAUAUAUUUUCUUUACAACAAAUAACUCAAGAUAUAUGUGAUUCAGUUAUGACCAUUGAGGAAGGAAACAUUGAAGAUAUGACAUUGGUAUCCCUAGCUGAUUCAAGAGAAGUAGUAGAGGGAAAUGUUUAAUAUAAAGUAUUGAAAUUAGACAAGAAGGAGUAUGUGAUAAAGUGUUCACAUAAUAAUUGCAAGUGGAUAUUUAGAUCUUCAUAUUGCGGAAAAACAAAAAUGUUUAAGAUCAGGAAAAUAUGUAAUGGU
rnacentral:lncRNA from 1 species